AUUUUAUAUGAUGAGAAAAAUUGCAACAAUACGAUAGAUUACAUUUCAUGAUUCUUUGUAUUUAAGUCUAAUGAUU